UUAGCGGCGGACGGGUGAGUAACACGUGGAUAACCUACCUAUAAGACUGGGAUAACUUCGGGAAACCGGAGCUAAUACCGGAUAAUAUUUUGAACCGCAUGGUUCAAAAGUGAAAGACGGUCUUGCUGUCACUUAUAGAUGGAUCCGCGCUGCAUUAGCUAGUUGGUAAGGUAACGGCUUACCAAGGCAACGAUGCAUAGCCGACCUGAGAGGGUGAUCGGCCACACUGGAACUGAGACACGGUCCAGACUCCUACGGGAGGCAGCAGUAGGGAAUCUUCCGCAAUGGGCGAAAGCCUGACGGAGCAACGCCGCGUGAGUGAUGAAGGUCUUCGGAUCGUAAAACUCUGUUAUUAGGGAAGAACAUAUGUGUAAGUAACUGUGCACAUCUUGACGGUACCUAAUCAGAAAGCCACGGCUAACUACGUGCCAGCAGCCGCGGUAAUACGUAGGUGGCAAGCGUUAUCCGGAAUUAUUGGGCGUAAAGCGCGCGUAGGCGGUUUUUUAAGUCUGAUGUGAAAGCCCACGGCUCAACCGUGGAGGGUCAUUGGAAACUGGAAAACUUGAGUGCAGAAGAGGAAAGUGGAAUUCCAUGUGUAGCGGUGAAAUGCGCAGAGAUAUGGAG
rnacentral:rRNA from 1 species